GAGAAGAACGCAGCGAAAUGCGAUAAGUAAUGCGAAUUGCAGAAUUCCAGUGAGUCAUCGAAUCUUUGAACGCACAUUGCGCCCUUUGGUAUUCCGAAGGGCAUGCCUGUUCGAGCGUCAUUAUCACCCCUCAAGCCCUCGGCUUGGUGUUGGACGGUUUGGUGGAGGCCCCCUCGGGGGCUCCUGCCCCUCCCAAAGACAAUGACGGCGGCCUCGUUGGACCCCCGGUACACUGAGUUCUUCACGGGACACGUAUCGGACACAUGGGUUUACGGGACACGGUCUGCCUCCCCUCAGGGAGAAUCUUUCUAAGGUUGACCUCGGAUCAGGUAGGGAUACCCGCUGAACUUAAGCAUAUCAAUAAGCGGAGGA
rnacentral:misc_RNA from 1 species